UGGGAAGGCCCAGACAGCCAGGAUGUUGGCUUAGAAGCAGCCAUCAUUUAAAGAAAGCGUAAUAGCUCACUGGUCGAGUCGGCCUGCGCGGAAGAUGUAACGGGGCUAAACCAUGCACCGAAGCUGCGGCAGCGACACUAUGUGUUGUUGGGUAGGGGAGCGUUCUGUAAGCCUGUGAAGGUGGCCUGUGAGGGUUGCUGGAGGUAUCAGAAGUGCGAAUGCUGACAUAAGUAACGAUAAAGCGGGUGAAAAGCCCGCUCGCCGGAAGACCAAGGGUUCCUGUCCAACGUUAAUCGGGGCAGGGUGAGUCGACCCCUAAGGCGAGGCCGAAAGGCGUAGUCGAUGGGAAACAGGUUAAUAUUCCUGUACUUGGUGUUACUGCGAAGGGGGGACGGAGAAGGCUAUGUUGGCCGGGCGACGGUUGUCCCGGUUUAAGCGUGUAGGCUGGUUUUCCAGGCAAAUCCGGAAAACCAAGGCUGAGGCGUGAUGACG
rnacentral:rRNA from 1 species